GGAAUCAACAUUUACAAGUCAGUAGUGUGUUUUAUAUAUUGAAGUUAGAAAUAAAUUAAUUGUUUCUUUUAUUGAUUUGCUUUUUUAACAGGAUAGAGAAAUGCCACUUGGAACAAAGCUAUUAAUGUGGACAAGUCCGACUAUGGAAACAUAGUAGAUCUCACAUACUUUGAUAUAGAUUCUCCUAUACUCUCACCACAUAAUGUGCCAUCAUCAGCCACGAAAUCCUGACCACCGAGUCAAAGAUCACCACAUAAUGUCCCAUCAUCAGCCACAAAUUCUGACCACCGAGUCAAAGAUCACCACAUAAUGUCCCAUCAUCAGCCACAAAUUCUGACCGAGUCAAAGAUCACCACGUAAUGUCCCAUCGUCAUCGACCACUUAGUCCAAGAGAAAAAGAUCUGACAGAAACCAGUACUCAAAAACAUGACAUCACCCCAACCUUAAUUCUCUGUGUGUAAGGAUUAAAGAGAUUGAUUGCGCAAUACAGUUUUUACUGGGCCUGAUGAAGGACAAACAGAAGAAAUAUAACAAACAUUCGGACCAAUUUCAGCGGAUCUUGGAGACGCUCUCCAUUCUUAACCGGGUCAAGGACAGCAUGCAGAACCUGGUCCCCAAGAUGGAGCGCUUGAACCAGAUGUUGCCACCGGAGGACCGACUGGAACCGCUCAGUCUGAAGAGUCACUUAAUGUUAUUAAGAACGCAACCCUGAUAAAGAGCAAGGGAACCAGUAAAAUGAAGAACUAGUAUUAGUAUUGUCACUUUCAUUUAUUUGUAUGUAAACUUAUUUUGUAAAGAACUUAAAUUUAAGUUCUCUUUUGUGUUCAUUUAAAUUUUUAUACAUGUCAUACUAAAUUUCAA